AAUAUAAAGUUUCCCUUUUUUUAGAA
rnacentral:tRNA from 1 species